rnacentral:rRNA from 1 species
CGGAAUCACUGGGCUUAAAGGGUGCGUAGGCGGAUCAGUAAGCAUUUUGUGAAAUCCCUCGGCUCAACCGAGGAAUUGCAGAGUGAACUGCUGGUCUUGAGGUAGGCAGAGGUCAUCGGAACGUACGGUGGAGCGGUGAAAUGCGUAGAUAUCGUACGGAACGCCGAAGGGGUAGCCAGGUGACUGGGCCUUACCUGACGCUGAGGCACGAAAGCGUGGGGAUCAAACAGGAUUAGAUACCCUGGUAGUCCACGCCGUAAACGAUGUGCACUAGUUUGGUGGAGAUCUGACUCUCUGCCAGACGCCGAGAAAUCAUUAAGUGCACCGCCUGGGGAGUACGGUCGCAAGGCUAAAACUCAAAGGAAUUGACGGGGGCUCACACAAGCGG